rnacentral:tRNA from 1 species
GCAGUGGUAGUUCCGUGGUAGGAUUCUCGCCUUCCAUGUGGGAGACCCAGGUUCCAUUCCCAGCCAGUGUA